AUUUAAAAACUCGGUCUUCUGCUGUAUCAGACAUCUAGACGGGCAUUUUCCAACAGAAUUAUGAGAGUCCUCUUAUAGAACUUGAAACCUUCCUUGUAGCCUCAUAUAAAUAUAUAAACAGGUACAAUUCAUUUUACCACUAUAUUUUUAACUCAAAAUGCUCAUACUAUACUUUCAAUAAGAAAUACAAAUAGGCAGGGUGAGGUGGCUCACAUCUGCAAUCCCAGCACUUUGGGAGGCUGAGGCGGGUGGAUCACAAGAUCAGGAGAUCGAGACCAUCCUGGCUAACACGGUGAAACCCCGUCUCUCCUAAAAAUACAAAAAAUUAGCCAGGCGUGGCAGCGGGCAGCUACUUGGGAGGCUGAGGCAGGAGAAUGGCAUGAACCCGGGAGGCAGAGAUUGCAGUGAGCCCAGAUCGCGCCACUGCACUCUAGCCUGGGCAACACAGCAAGGCUCUGUCUCAAAAAAUAAAUAAAUAAAUAAAUACAAAUACAGUAUUUUAUAUUUUUCGUAUUAACUGGCAUGUCUUUCACGUAGCAAAUCCAGUUCAGACCGGGCGCAAUUCAUGUGCUCAGCCACCGCAUGUGGUGAGUGACAGAGACCAUCCUGCAUGUGUGUGCACUUUUUACUGCCUUUUUCUUGACCACAGAUUCUACCUGUUUCUCUGUGUAUGCAGUGAUUAUUUGCUGAGUGUUACACAUUGUAGGUAACAUGUUGAGCACACUCAGGAUCCCUAACCUUCCUCUGAAGCUUUCCAGCUCUUGUUUUAGCAGAUAGCACAGGCACUGCUGGGUCAUCAUGACAUGGGCAGGCUUGGAUUGAUUCGCUGCUGGUGUGGAUCUGUGGAGAGCUCCCAUCCUGCACCCAUCCGAUCUCCCCCUCCUGGACGUGGUAGGAUGGCCAUGCUCCGCCCACACCUGAGCUCUCUCUGAUCUCCCCCUCCUGGACGUGGUAGGGUGAUAUGCUCUGCCCACACCUGAGCUCUCUCCAGUCUCCGCCUCCUGGACGUGGUAGGGUGGCCAUGCUCAGCUCACACCUGAGCUCUCUCCGAGCUCCGCCUUCUGGACUCCGUAGAGUGGCCAUGCUCCACCCACACCUGCGCUCUCUCCAAGCUCCGCCUUCUGGACGUGGUAGGAUGGCCAUGCUCCGCCCACACCUGAGCUCUCGGUGCCACGAUCUGCAGGUGUACUCCACAGGACAAGUGUACUGUGGAAACUAUGAUCCAGGUCAGCAGCCAGUCAUUUCAUAGAAGGUAAACUUCAAGAACAUUCUCUGAAGGGCAGUGAAACUGAGUAAGAUCUAACCACUGUUACCAGCAACCAAGAAAAAUAGGUAAGAAAAUGCAACUAAGAUUUGUAUCAAGUAACUACGGUAAUAAACAUGCAAACUAUCGCUAAGCA
rnacentral:lncRNA from 1 species